rnacentral:rRNA from 1 species
AUGCGCCGUAUAGCGAGCAAAUUGGCCGCAGAAACAGAUCUCUCUCACUACCAGCCGGUUUAUGAUGCUGAUCACAAAAGACUUCCCGCGCCAACACAUGAUGUAGAACAUCUUACGCCGCCAAUCCGUAAGCAUACCUAUGCCCCUGAUGUUGACCCCUCAAACCUUAUAAGUGAUGAAGCUAUGUUCCAAGCCUUGAUUGGAAUCGAUUGGUCAACCAUUGACUUCCAGCCACUGGGUAGAGAGGAGGAAGACGCACCGGCACAGGACGAUCCACAGCCUUCAACUCAGCCCGGUGAUGAGUCAUGA